rnacentral:tRNA from 1 species
ACUUAAAUAGUUUAAAAAAUAUUGAUUUGUGGAAUCAAAGAUAUAAAUUUAUUUGUUUAUUUUAAGUU